AGAGUUUGAUCCUGGCUCAGGACGAACGCUGGCGGCAUGCCUAACACAUGCAAGUCGAACGAGAAAGUUCCUUCGGGAGCAAUUAAAGUGGCGCACGGGUGAGUAACGCGUAGACAAUCUGCCCUUCAGUCUGGGACAACUUUUCGAAAGGAGAGCUAAUACCGGAUAACAAUGCAUGACACAAGUUGUAUAUUUGAAAGCUUUAUGUGCUGAAGGAGGGGUCUGCGUCCCAUUAGCUAGUUGGUAAGGUAAAGGCUUACCAAGGCAACGAUGGGUAGCGGGUUUGAGAGGACGAUCCGCCACACUGGAACUGAGACACGGUCCAGACUCCUACGGGAGGCAGCAGUGGGGAAUAUUGCACAAUGGAGGAAACUCUGAUGCAGCAAUGUCGCGUGAGUGAAGAAGGCCCUUGGGUCGUAAAGCUCUUUUAUGGGGGAAGAUGAUGACGGUACCCCAAGAAUAAGCACCGGCUAACUAUGUGCCAGCAGCCGCGGUAAUACAUAGGGUGCGAGCGUUGUUCGGAAUUACUGGGCGUAAAGGGCGCGCAGGCGGAAUAGUAAGUCGGAGGUGAAAGCCCGGGGCUCAACCCCGGAGGGUCUUUCGAAACUACUAAUCUAGAGAGGGUCAGGGGCCGGCAGAAUUCCUGGUGUAGAGGUGAAAUUCG
rnacentral:rRNA from 1 species